rnacentral:misc_RNA from 1 species
UAACCACUCAAGCUCUCGCUUGGUAUUGGGGUUCGCGGUUUCGCGGCCCCUAAAAUCAGUGGCGGUGCCUGUCGGCUCUACGCGUAGUAAUACUCCUCGCGAUUGAGUCCGGUAGGUCUACUUGCCAGCAACCCCUAAUUUUUUAAU